rnacentral:rRNA from 1 species
CCUACGGGGGGCAGCAGUAGGGAAUAUUGCUCAAUGGGCGCAAGCCUGAAGCAGCAACGCCGCGUGGAGGAUGAAGGUUUUCGGAUUGUAAACCUCUUUUGUUAGGGAAGAUAAUGACGGUAUCUAACGAAUAAGCAACGGCUAACUCCGUGCCAGCAGCCGCGGUCAUACGGAGGGUGCAAGCGUUAAUCGGAAUCACUGGGCGUAAAGAGCGCGUAGGCGGGAUAGCAAGUCAGAUGUGAAAUGCUAUGGCUAAACCAUAGAACUGCAUUUGAUACUGUUAUUCUAGAGUAUGGGAGAGGUAGGUGGAAUUCUUGGUGUAGGGGUAAAAUCCGUAGAGAUCAAGAGGAAUACUCAUUGCGAAGGCGACCUGCUAGAACAUAACUGACGCUGAUGCGCGAAAGCGUGGGGAGCAAACAGGAUUAGAUACCCCUGUAGUC